AACGAACGCUGGCGGCAUGCCUAACACAUGCAAGUCGAACGAGCCCUUCGGGUCUAGUGGCGCACGGGUGCGGAACGCGUGGGAAUCUGCCCUUGGGUUCGGAAUAACAGUUGGAAACGACUGCUAAUACCGGAUGAUGACUUAAGUCCAAAGAUUUAUCGCCCAAGGAUGAGCCCGCGUAGGAUUAGCUAGUUGGUGAGGUAAAGGCUCACCAAGGCGACGAUCCUUAGCUGGUCUGAGAGGAUGAUCAGCCACACUGGGACUGAGACACGGCCCAGACUCCUACGGGAGGCAGCAGUGGGGAAUAUUGGACAAUGGGCGAAAGCCUGAUCCAGCAAUGCCGCGUGAGUGAUGAAGGCCUUAGGGUUGUAAAGCUCUUUUACCCGGGAUGAUAAUGACAGUACCGGGAGAAUAAGCUCCGGCUAACUCCGUG
rnacentral:rRNA from 1 species